GAGGCAGCAGUGGGGAAUAUUGCACAAUGGGCGAAAGCCUGAUGCAGCGACGCCGCGUGAGGGAUGACGGCCUUCGGGUUGUAAACCUCUUUCAGCUCUGACGAAGCUUUUUGUGACGGUAGGAGCAGAAGAAGCACCGGCUAACUACGUGCCAGCAGCCGCGGUAAUACGCAGGGUGCGAGCGUUGUCCGGAAUUAUUGGGCGUAAAGAGCUUGUAGGCGGCUUGUCGCGUCUGCUGUGAAAGCCCGGGGCUUAACUCCGGGUCUGCAGUGGGUACGGGCAGGCUAGAGUGUGGUAGGGGAGACUGGAAUUCCUGGUGUAGCGGUGGAAUGCGCAGAUAUCAGGAGGAACACCGAUGGCGAAGGCAGGUCUCUGGGCCAUUACUGACGCUGAGAAGCGAAAGCGUGGGGAGCGAACAGGAUUAGAUACCCUGGUAGUCCACGCCGUAAACGUUGGGCGCUAGGUGUGGGUCCCAUUCCACGGGGUCCGUGCCGCAGCUAACGCAUUAAGCGCCCCGCCUGGGGA
rnacentral:rRNA from 1 species